GCAUCUAGGGCACACAUCUAACAACUCUCAGCUACUACAUCAUGACCCAACCUCUGUCCAUAGGCAACCCCACCAUACCAGGACACUCCCAGCUGCUUGAUGCCCCUGGUGCUCUUUGAGACCCCUUGGCUCUCCUUGAGACCUGCUCCUUGGUCUCCUUAAGAUGCCCUUGGAUCUUCCCUGAGACCUACUCCCAGUCUCCCUGAGAUACCCCUCGAUCUCCUUGAGACCUGCUCUCGAUCUUCUUGAGACCACCUGGCUCUCUCUGCACUACC
rnacentral:lncRNA from 1 species